UACGAAGGGGGCUAGCGUUGUUCGGAAUUACUGGGCGUAAAGGGCGCGUAGGCGGUGUGUCAAGUCAGGCGUGAAAGCCCCGGGCUCAACCUGGGAACAGCGCUUGAGACUGGCACGCUCGAGUUCGGGAGAGGAUGGUGGAAUUCCCGAGUGAUAGAGGUGAAAUUCGUAGAUAUUGGGAGGAACACCGAUGGCGAAGGCAGGUCUCUGGGCAUUAACUGACGCUGAGGAGCGAAAAGCAUGGGGGAGCGAAACAGG
rnacentral:rRNA from 1 species